UUCCCUCGCUCAGGGCUUCAGAA
rnacentral:misc_RNA from 1 species